CGCCCGCCAGGGACGGCUGCUGUCAUGGCGAGCUCGGCGGCCUCCUCCGUGCGACCGCCGAGGCCCAAGAAAGAGCCACAGGCGCUCAUCAUCCCCAAGAAUGCUGCGGAGGAGCAGAAGCUCAAGCUGGAACGGCUCAUGAAGAACCCGGACAAAGCAGUUCCAAUUCCAGAAAAAAUGAGUGAAUGGGCACCUCGACCUCCCCCAGAAUUUGUCCGAGAUGUAAUGGGUUCAAGCGCUGGGGCCGGCAGUGGAGAAUUCCACGUGUACAGGCAUCUACGCCGGAGAGAGUACCAGCGACAGGACUACAUGGAUGCCAUGGCUGAGAAGCAAAAAUUGGAUGCAGAGUUUCAGAAGAGACUGGAAAGGAAUAAAAUUGCUGCAGAGGAGCAGACUGCAAAGCGUCGGAAAAAGCGCCAGAAGUUAAAAGAGAAGAAAUUACUGGCAAAGAAGAUGAAACUUGAACAGAAGAAGCAAAAUGAAGUCAUUUAUGGAUGUGAGAGUUGGACUGUGAAGAAAGCUGAGCGCCAAAGAAUUGAUGCUUUUGAACUGUGGUGUUGGAGAAGACUCUCGAGAGUCCCUUGGACUGCAAGGAGAUCCAACCAGUCCAUCCUAAAGGAGAUGAGUCCUGGGUGUUCCUUGGAAGGACUGAUGCUGAAGCUGAAACGCCAGUACUUUGGCCACCUCAUGCGAAGAGUUGACUCAUUGGAAAAGACCCUGAUGCUGGGAGGGGUUGGGGGCAGAAGGAGAAGGGGAUGACAGAGGAUGAGAUGGCUGGAUGGCAUCACCGACUUGAUGGACAAUGAGUUUGAGUAAACUCCGGGAGUUGGUGAUGGACAGGGAGGCCUGGCGUGCUGUGAUUCAUGGGGUCGCAAAGAGUCGGACACGACUGAGCGACUGAACUGAACUGAAUAUGUCAGCAUUCCACAGUCCUGCCUACUUCUGAACCCAUCACAAGGCCAGUGAUGCCAGUCACUCCUUUGGGAGCCCCUGGGCUGAGAAUCAGAGAGAGGUCCCAGAUGGGAAGGAUCAAGGAGGCUAAGAGACCCAAAAAAUGACAACUGAUCACCACAUUACUGAAUUGGUGGCUAUACCAUAAUUGACUAGACGUGUUUCCUGAUUGGACAGUUGUGAUUUUUGUUCUUAAGAUAAAAUCAGACCUGCGUUGGCAUACUGAAACAUCAUCAGCCCCUUCUAUGACCUGAGUUGUAAAUGUACUAUAAUGGGCUUCCCUGGUGGCUCAGUUCAUUAAGGAUCUGCCUGCAAUGCAGGAGACCCAGGUUCAAUCCCUAGGUGGGGAAAAUCCCCUGGAGAAGAAAAUGGCAACCCACUCCAAUAUUCUUGCCUGAAAAAUCCCAUGGACAGAGUAGCCUGGUGGGGUACAGUCCAUGGGGGUCACAGAGUCAGACACAAGUUGGUAACUAAAUCACCACCAUGUGACACUAUAUAGGACAUGAUUUUAGCCUGUUGCCCACCAUUUCUGAGAAGAAAUUAUUUUUAGAGUGCCAAAAUGUGAUGGCUCGGACCUCUUCCCUCAAGUGAGCCGCCUCAUCAUGUCCCCUGUCCUUCCCCCAGCCCCUACACACAGGAAUAUGGGUGUACUUGCUCCAGGGCCAGGAGGGUUGGGCACAGGUGCCAGUCUCGUGUUCUGUUGAAGAAGGUACUAUGGCUUGGACCCCAGUAUAUUGAGAAAUAGAAAGAAUCUCCUUGGCUCUGGUAAUCUGACCUUCCCUCCCUGGAGCUUGUUUUUGCUGCUUCUUGUGUUUACUGCUAUUUAUGUGUUCAGUGAGUUCCCUGAGCUAACUCUCUGAAGCUUAUGUUCUUUGUUGUGUGUGGAAGCUGAAGUCUUUGCUUGGUUAGCUUAGUGGUCAGCUGAAGAUUAGAGAUUUCCUGAAAUGCUUUGAACCAGUAAGUCUCCUGAUUCUUGCCAAGGGCCUUUUCUGUGUGUGGUGGAGCAUGUCUUCAGCAUUCUGGCAGGCAGUUAACAGCUUUGCCUUAGCCGUCACCUCCGUGCACAGAGCCUCAAGCUUAACCAGAGGAUCCAUUGAGACCCAGGAGCAGCCGUCCAGUGGCUCCGAGGAGGCGUCUGGGACAGAGGACGAGGAGGAGGACGCGCCCAGCUUCGUCAUGGGGCGAUGACGGGGCUGGCCCCGCGACUCCGAACGCCCUUCCAGAGCCUCAUGGAGACACGCAGUGGGAGCCCCUCCUGAGGACUCUCAGCUGCGCUGCGGGCAGGACUCAGCCGGUAGGGAGAAGACUGGCCACCUGGACAGGCGAGGGCACUGCCAGGCGGGGUUCGUCAGUGUUCUCGCUGUGAGGGGGGCUGUAUGACCUGGGCCCACCUGCUCUCAUAGAAGUGGACAGUGAUGAGCUUGGGGCUGGUUUCUGUGAAACGAAUGUUUGUUUAGUAAAGAACAGAAAAACUCCAGGUUUUGUUCGGACCUGUGACAUGACACGACAGGGAGGGGCUGGUCCCAGACCCAGAGGAAGCAGCCCCGGCUCUGGAAGGCAGGUAGAGGAGCCAGGCUGGGCUGGACCAGAGCAGGUGGCCUGGGGAACACCCCGCUGGACCACAGGGGUCCGGGUGACGCUGGCCAAAAGCUACACUUUCGUCAAGAGGGAAAAGAGGAUCUAAGCGGAAAAUGGAAAGUGACUGAGGGCAGCCUUUCAGGCCAAUGGGAGAGACAGAGAUGGUUUCUAACUAAAGCCUUCGCUCACGUUUUUGGUAUCUCCAAGUUUCUAGGUCUAUUUUGUGCCUUUUAUAGAAAGUUUGAUAGAAUUAAGGAAAUAGUGGUUUCAAGUGAAGGGAAAUGAGGAAACUUCUUACGUUUCUUGAUUUCCCUGGCUCCAUCCUGAGCCUUGUGACAUCUGUGAUAACGUCUGUCUGUCCACACUUUAAGUCACAGGAAUUUUCUUUCCCAGGAAGCUGAAAUGGAAAGUCAGCCCUCAUAAAAUAGAACAUAGCCUGACUGUUUUGAAAGUGGUGUUUCUCUUUCAUUAGGGACUGACCGGUUAGUUCUGUGUCCUCCUAUCUCUGAGAACUGUUGGUUUCCUUUGUCCCCUCUAAGUGUGUGUGUCAGAGCUCGUGCUUUGAGCCUGGAGCCCUGGGACUGAGUCCUGGCCCUGCCUCUGAUGGGACAGGGAACUCCGGGCAAGUCCCUGCCCAGUGUCCCGGGCCAAGAGCUCGGAGCUUCCGCAGCAGAUGUGUGCCGGGCAGGUGGGCAAAUGACUAGACUGGGUGCUUGUUUUACCUUUACUGGAUGUCAGGAGAUGCUGCUCAGGGAGAAGAUGUCCUUCAGCAGUUGCCAGUGACGCAGCGGUUUUAGUGCCUUAGGUUGAAUGACUCGCCGGCCUUCUGUACCAGCCGGAAACUUGGAUCCACUCUCCCAAUCCACUCAGCAGAACCAAGCGACUGACACUGCACUUCGUGUUAUCAAACCCAGUUCACUGCAGGGCAUCCAGCAAGGAGAACAGACCAGCUGGUGCUCAGAAGCCCAAAAGACUGCGAGGGAGAGGGCCACAGGGUAUGUGAUCCGCUCCUGUGCGGUUCGAUUGGUCGAUGGUGAGUGAGUGAGUGAUGUCUGGGGACUCUCAGCUUUCUGGUUCCAGCCCGUGCUCUACGCUGCUGGUGGUCAUCAGGCAGGCAACUGCUUUCACCUGGGGGGAAUCAUGCCUGCAAGACAACUCAAGGGUGUGGCUCGGGAUACUACUUAGCGCCCUUGAGGAGGAACUGAAGGGCCUUGACUUUAUGGCCAAAUUUGUCUUUUUUGACUGCUUUCCUUUGUUUCUUCAUUUUCUCACCUGUAACUAAAUUUGUGCAAGAAUGUGGGAGAAAGUCAUUGACCUUCUUUUCAUUUUAAAAUUCUUUUCAUUUUUAAAAGAAUUCUCAAGUUGCUUGGUGCCAGUACUUUGUAUUAUAAAGACAUUACCCCUGAUGGCUUUGUCAUAGCACCUGGACAAACGCUUGAAAGUUAGACACAGUACAAUGAGGAUAGUGAUGUAAACACACCUGCCAUAUACCCAGAGCUUGUUACAGAUGGCAACCAGGAAAAUCAGUUUUGGAGUGAGUCAUUUUUAUAUAAAUUCUGUAACCAAGGAGUCUUUUGAAUUAAUUCUAUUUAUUUGGGUUUCAGCUUCUCCAGGGCUAUUUUUUAAAAUAUAUAUGUGUGUGUGUAUAUAUAUGUAUAUAUAUAAACAGGAGCUGUUGGCCACUGCACAUCUUUUUUGUGGUUAAAAUGUAAAGUAGUCUCAAGGCCAGCGAAGUGAGUUCAAUGGCUGAGGUGAGGUACCCUGUGUGGGGGCCUCAUAACCCAAUUCACACUACUCUCCCGCCCGUCCUUUUAAAAAAAAAAAGUAAAGUAGUUUUAUUAUCUAGUACUUUUCUGCCUAAAUAAUCAAGCGCCUUCUCCUUGGAAGCUAUAGCUUGAGCUGUCUUGCUAAUUACUACAGUAAGUCCCCUACAUACAAACCUUCAAGCUUCGAACUUUCAAAGAUGUAAAUGUGUUCCACGCCCAUCAGGUGUGAGUGAAGCUGCCCUCCAUCUCCUAUUGCUGACGAUCCUUCAGCUCCACUGUCUCCCUCCCCUAGUCAGUAACUCUUAGCUGCUCACUUAGUGCCAGCUGUUACAUGACUGUACUGUAAGAUUAAAAGUUUGUUUUCUGUUUAUGUAUUACUUGUGUGCAAGUAUGAGCGUAGAACCGUACUAUAGAGCGAUCGUGUUAGUUAGGUGCCUAGACUGACUUUGUUGGACUUUCGAACUCAUUAUACGUAGGGGACUCACUGUAUUCCUAAAGAAAGGCAUUUCAUGGCAGCUGAUAAUGUCCUUGAGUCUGAUACAGUUCAGAAAGUUCAGGUUCUCAAUAAUACAGGAACGUGUCUGAACCCAUGUCUGUAAUAGGCACCCAGGUCCAUACUGAAUGCCUGAACUACAGUUACUUCAUUUUGAUUUUGUAAAUGCUUCUUUAAAGUAAGAUGUAUACAGCGUAUGUUUGAUAAACUAGAACAGCCUGUAUAAACCAAAAUAACUUCUCUAUA